GACAGAGGAUGCAAGCGUUAUCCGGAAUGAUUGGGCGUAAAGCGUCUGUAGGUGGCUUUUUAAGUCCGCCGUCAAAUCCCAGGGCUCAACCCUGGACAGGCGGUGGAAACUACCAAGCUGGAGUACGGUAGGGGCAGAGGGAAUUUCCGGUGUAGCGGUGAAAUGCGUAGAUAUCGGAAGGAACACCUGUGGCGAAAGCGGCUCACUGGACCAUUACUGACGCUGAGGCACGAAAGCUAGGGGAGCAAACAGG
rnacentral:rRNA from 1 species